ensembl:lncRNA
GCCAGAACUCCGCCUGCUCCCGCGCGCUGGCGAGACGUCAUAGAGCAGCCCGGCCGCUGCCUCUCCUGCGGGAGGCCCACUGCCCGUCUCUAUGGCGGGAACUCCAGCCCCUCCAUGCCUUGAUCAGACCACGAGGCUUUCCUCUGCAUCUUGACUGAGCUUGUCUCCUUCCAUCGUCCCGAGUGUCGCAGGGCAGGAGGACACUUGAGAGACAAAAUCCUAACUGCCCUUAAGAAGAAAAGGAAGAAUGUGUCUUGCAGUGGAGAGGUUGGCUCCCCACUUCCACGGCAGGGAGCACAGGUUCCAUCCCUCGUGAGCGAGCUAAGAUCCCACAAGCCAAAAAGAAAAAGAGAUGGCGAUGGUGCGGGAAUACCUAUCAGGAACUAUGUAAUGUUUUAGUGUCUUUGUGUGCUGAUAUAUUGUAACGACUUAUUUUGGAAUUCACUUUGAAAUAUAUAGAAGCAUCAAAUAGCUUUGUUGUGUAACUGGAACUGAUAGAGUUAUCAAAACAAACUCAGAAAAAGAGAUCUUUUCUCUCUCAGGAAGGGUUGAAGGGAGGAGGAAUUGGAUGAAGAUAGUUGAAAAGUACCGACUUUCAAUUGUAAGAUAAGUACUAGGGAUGUUUGCCAACAAAGGUCCGUCUAGUCAAGGCUAUGGUUUUUCCAGUGGUCUUGUAUGGAUGUGAGAGUUGGACUGUGAAGAAGGCCGAGCGCCAAAGAAUUGAUGCUUUUGAACUGUGGUGUUGGAGAAGACUCUUGAGAGUCCCUUGGACUGCAAGGAGAUCCAACCAGUCCAUCCUAAAGGAGAUCAGUCCUGGGUGUUCUUUGGAGGGACUGAUACUGAGGCUGAAACUCCAAUAUGUCGGCCACCUGACUCGAAGAGUUGAUUCGUUGGAAAAGUCCCUGAUGCCUGGAGGGAUUGGGGGCAGGAGAAGGGGAUGACAGAAGAUGAGAUGGCUGGAUGGCAUCACCGACUUGAUGGACAUGAGUUUGAGUAAACUCCAGGAGUUGGUGAUGGACAGGGAGGCAUGGUGUGCUGUGAUUCAUGGGGUCACAAAGAGUCGGACAUGACUGAGCGACUGAACUGAACUGAACUAAGGGACAUUCAACACUGAUAAGUAUAAUUAACGCUCCUCUGUGUUUUAUGUGAAAGUUGAAAGUAAAUCUUGAGUUCUCAAAAUAUGGAAAAACUAUAUUUUUAUUUUUUUCAUUUUGUAUCUGUAUGAGAUGAUGGAUGUCAUUAAACUUACUGUGGUCAUCAUUUCUUACUUGUAAGUCAGUCAAUAUGCUUUACACCCUAAACUUGUACAGUGCUGGGAUAUGUCAAUUAUAUCUCAAUAAACAUGGAAGGAAAAAAAGAAACAAAAAGAGGGAAUCCCCAUUGGCAGAUAUAGCUACUAUUUGAAUAAAUGUUUUGAAAAAUAGUUUGUCCAUUUAGGGGAAUUUCUAUGGUCAGAAUCCUUAUUUUAUGGGGGCUUAUGUUUUG